rnacentral:rRNA from 1 species
UACGUAGGGUGCGAGCGUUAAUCGGAAUUACUGGGCGUAAAGCGUGCGCAGGCGGCGCGUUAAGACAGGUGUGAAAGCCCCGAGCUUAACUUGGGAAUUGCGCUUGUGACUGGCGUGCUGGAGUGUGGCAGAGGGAGGUGGAAUUCCACGUGUAGCAGUGAAAUGCGUAGAGAUGUGGAGGAACACCGAUGGCGAAGGCAGCCUCCUGGGCCAGCACUGACGCUCAUGCGCGAAAGCGUGGGGAGCGAACAGG